AUGCCUAACAGAAGCCUUGAUACCAUUCUUUUUGAUUAUGACAAACACAAACACCUAGACUGGGAAAGGAGAUUCAAGAUUAUCAGUGGAGUUGCUAGGGGAUUACAGUAUCUCCAUGAAGAUUCUCAAUUGAAGAUAGUUCACCAGGAUCUGAAAGCAAGCAAUAUUUUGUUGGACUUUGAUUACAACCUUAAGAUUUCUGACUUUGGCUUAGCAAAGAUAUUUGGAGGGUAUCAAUCAGAAGAUGUCACUAGCCGUAUAGCUGGGACAUACGGAUACAUGUCGCCUGAAUAUGCCAUGCAUGGUCAGUACUCAACAAAGUCAGACGCGGUCAGCUUCGGUGUUUUGGUUUUGGAGAUCGUCACAGGAAGAAGAAACAAUGGCUCCUAUAACUCCGAGCAAUAUGUUUAUCUCGUAAAUCUUGUAUGGGAGCACUGGACCAGGGGAAGUGUCAUCGAGUUGAUAGAUCCAUCCCUUAGCGACCAUCCUUCUCCCGGUGACCAGGUGCUGAAGUGCAUCCAAAUUGGGCUACUGUGUGUAGAGAAGAGACCUGAAGAUAGGCCGACAAUGUCGUCGGUGAAUGUCAUGCUUAGUAGCCACAAUGUUCGUCUCCCAUCUGUUUCCAUGCCAGCCUUCUGUGAUGGAUUGGGUGGACACGGUGAUAAUUCAAAAGUGACCUCUGCGAAUGGAAUGACCAUCACAAAGCUCGAGCCAAGAUGA
rnacentral:rRNA from 1 species